UGCAGAUCAAGAAAAACAUGUAUUGAAGAUGAAGAUCUUUUGCAUUCAAGUGAAACUGUCAAUUCAGGACUAGAUUCUGAUACCCUAAAAGAAUAUGAAGCAGUGAAUGAAAGAAUGGGAUUGUCUUGUGGAGUUUUAAAAAAACGAUCGAAUUUAUGUUAUACUCGAUGGCAUCGACUAAGAUUAAAAACCUAAGGGUAUUACAGAAGAGGAAUAGAAUAUUACACUGUGGCAGUUGUUGAAUACUUGGGAGUAAUAGAGAAGAACAAGUAAACCUACUGCAAGACUUUUUUAGGAAAACUCGAUGAACAAUUUAUCAUGUCUAAUAUUAAUAUGAAGGUGGAGCUUAGCUCUUGCCAUUUUGCCGGGAAAUCUUUCUGAUUCAGAAUUGAACCUAUUUUACUUAAAUAAAAGCAUCUAAAUACAGAAAAGAACCUCCCAUUUUUGUGAAUAUGCAUAGGAAAUAUGGCCAAGUGACAGGUAUCCAAAGCUGAAUCUCUAAGGUGUCAUAUAUUUCUAGCUUUGGCAGAUUUUGUUGUGUAAUGGGUUUUUGCCUUCUACUAUAAAGUAAGAUCAGACAGUGUGUGGUAUUAUUUCAAAGGAUUCAGCUCCCUUAUUUAUUGACCAAUUUCUCUGAAAAUUGGAUGGGUUGCUUCUCAAAUGUGUGUUCACAAAACCGUAUCUCAGAUUUUUGAUAUCUAGCUUAGUUUUGGAAUUAUUGAGGAAAAUGUUAAAUUAGGCUAAUAAAUUGAUAAUAUUGAAGAGCAAAUGGCUGUAACUUUUGAAUUAGAAGAUUUAUAAAAAAUCUGAGAUACAGUUUUUAAGUUCAAUCUUUAAUCUACCUUGAGGCAAAAUGACCACUUUGAGGGGUUAAAUACAAAAAAGGUUGAUUUAUAAAAUAUUU